UACGUAGGUGGCAAGCGUUGUCCGGAAUUAUUGGGCGUAAAGCGCGCGCAGACGGUCCUUUAAGUCUGAUGUGAAAGCUCACGGCUCAACCGUGGAGGGUCAUUGGAAACUGGAGGACUUGAGUACAGAAGAGGAAAGUGGAAUUCCACGUGUAGCGGUGAAAUGCGUAGAGAUGUGGAGGAACACCAGUGGCGAAGGCGACUUUCUGGUCUGUAACUGACGUUGAGGCGCGAAAGCGUGGGGAGCAAACAGG
rnacentral:rRNA from 1 species